rnacentral:misc_RNA from 1 species
GAUGAAGAACGCAGCGAAAUGCGAUACGUAAUGUGAAUUGCAGAAUUCAGUGAAUCAUCGAGUCUUUGAACGCACAUUGCGCCCCCUGGUAUUCCGGGGGGCAUGCCUGUCCGAGCGUCAUUGCUGCCCUCAAGCACGGCUUGUGUGUUGGGCCUCCGUCCUCCUCCCGGGGGACGGGCCCGAAAGGCAGCGGCGGCACCGCGUCCGGUCCUCGAGCGUAUGGGGCUUCGUCACCCGCUCUUGUAUGCCCGGCCGGCGCUUGCCGACACAUCAAUCUUUUUUCCAGGUUGACCUCGGAUCAGGUAGGGAUACCCGCUGAACUUAAGCAUAUCAAUAAGCGGAGGA